rnacentral:rRNA from 1 species
AGGCCUAACACAUGCAAGUCGAGCGCUCGUAGCAAUACGGGAGCGGCAGACGGGAGAGUAACACGUGGGAACGUACCUUUCGGUUCGGAAUAACCCAGGGAAACUUGGGCUAAUACCGGAUACGUCCGUAAGGAGAAAGAUUUAUCGCCGGAAGAUCGGCCCGCGUCCGAUUAGCUAGUUGGUGAGGUAAUGGCUCACCAAGGCGACGAUCGGUAGCUGGUCCGAGAGGAUGAUCAGCCUCACUGGGACUGAGACACGGCCCAG